rnacentral:lncRNA from 1 species
CCCAAAGGCACUGGGGCUCUGACUGCCUAAGCCCUUUCUGGAGAUUCUGUGAUGAGUUGCUCCUUGUGUGUCUCUACUGGCAGAUAAGGAGUCUGGUUUCCUGAGUUUGCUAAUCACGUUCAUCUACUUUCUUUUUUUUUUUCUUAUUUUUUUUCCCAGCACAUCACUGCAUAUAUAUUUAAACCAAUCCAUCUUUCAGGAAACAGAAGCACCACACAGCGUGCAGUUAGCAAAGCCAACAAUAUCUUUUUAGAAGAGGACAUGUGAUUACAAGUUGCCUAAUUGUUGAAGUGUUGGAAACUCCAGUCUCUAAAGUUUUGGGAAAAUCAACCAGGAUUUAUACUUUGUCAAGGUAUGGUUAUGCCUUUUUUUUUUUUGGUGGUGGUGGGGAGGUAGAGGCUUCGAGUGCUGAGGUGCCAGUUUUCAGGUACUUAAAAUAGUGCAAUUUAACAUAAAACACC